rnacentral:rRNA from 14 species
CCGAAAAUGAACGGGGCUAAGCGGUAUACCGAAGCUGCGGAUUUAUGGUAGGGGAGCGUUCUAUGUGGGGCGAAGCGUUAGCGUGAGCGGGCGUGGACUGCAUAGAAGUGAGAAUGUCGGCUUGAGUAGCGAAAACAUGGGUGAGAAUCCCAUGCCCCGAAACCCUAAGGGUUCCUCCGGCAGGCUCGUCCGCGGAGGGUUAGUCAGGACCUAAGGCGAGGCCGAAAGGCGUAGUCGAUGGACAACAGGUCAACAUUCCUGUACCGGUUAUGUUUUGGGAAGAGGGACGGAGAAGGCUAGCCAAGCCAGAUGUUGGUUACUGGUUCAAGCGUUCGAGGCGUUGAGGAGCGGUGAAAACGUUCCGAGCUGAGGCGUGAGUACGAGCUCCUACGGGAGCGAAGUUGGUGAUGUCAUGCUUCCAAGAAAAGCUCUAUACCCGUUAAGGCAUAACUGCCAGUACCCGAAACCGACACAGGUGGGGUGGUAGAGAAUACCGAGGGGCGCGAGGUAACUCUCUCUAAGGAACUCGGCAAAAUGACCCCGUAACUUCGGGAGAAGGGGUGCCAGCGCGAGCUGGUCGCAGUGAAUAGGCCCAGGCGACUGUUUACCAAAAACACAGGUCUCCGCUAAGUCGCAAGACGAUGUAUGGGGGCUGACGCCUGCCCAGUGCCGGAAGGUUAAAGAAGUUGGUCAGCGCAAGCGAAGCUAACGACUGAAGCCCCGGUGAACGGCGGCCGUAACUAUAACGGUCCUAAGGUAGCG